rnacentral:rRNA from 1 species
UACGAAGGGGGCUAGCGUUGCUCGGAAUCACUGGGCGUAAAGGGCGCGUAGGCGGUCUGUUACGUCCGCUGUGAAAUCCCAGGGCUUAACCCUGGGCUUGCAGUGGAUACGGGCAGACUAGAGGUAGGUAGGGGAGAAUGGAAUUCCCGGUGUAGCGGUGAAAUGCGCAGAUAUCGGGAGGAACACCGGUGGCGAAGGCGGUUCUCUGGGCAUUAACUGACGCUGAGGAGCGAAAGCAUGGGGAGCGAACAGG